rnacentral:rRNA from 1 species
UACAGAGACCUCAAGCGUUAUCCGGAUUCAUUGGGCGUAAAGCGUCCGCAGGUGGUUUUGUAAGUGAGUGGUUAAAUCCCAAUGCUUAACGUUGGGACUGCUAUUCAUACUGCAAAACUUGAGACUGGGAGAGGCAUACGGAACGCAUAGUGUAGUCGUAAUAAGCGCUGAUAUUAUGCGGAACACCAAAGGCGAAGGCAGUAUGCUGGAACAUGUCUGACACUCAGGGACGAAAGCGUGGGUAGCGAAU